ensembl:lncRNA
GUCAGGAUGUGAGAAGUCUCAUCAUAAAUGUAACUGGUGAGCAAGAUGCAUGAGAACUAAGAUUGUUUUAGUUCUCAUAGCUCCAGUAAAUAUAAAUCAGUUUCAUGUUUGCACAUCUUGGUUUUAUCUAACCAGCCAAAUGCUCUAACUUAAAGCUUACUCAGAUGUCCCAACUGAUAAGGAAGCACUGAGUAAAACGAUUAUGCCCACUGUGAGUAGUGCAGUAUGCAGAGAUAGUCGUGCUGGUCCCAUCUGUGACAUUAACCUCAUAACACGUGACUGACUCUGUGAUUGUUUUGUGAGUACUUUGCCAUUUUCAUCAACAUUUUCCACCAUUUUGACCAUUUUGAAUGGUUUAGGCCAGUUGAAUAAUACCUUGCAACACCUGUAUCUGGUAACAAUCAUUGAUCUGAGAUUGUGUGUGCUUUUCCAACCCUGCAGGUUCCAGAGAUUGAGCAAGAGCUUUUUACUAAUUCAUUUCUUUAUGGUUCAAAGCUUCUGAGUAAUACAGAGAUAAAUGAAUCCCUUCAGAAAACAACUGAAGAUUACACGAAGAUAUCUUUGUUAAAUGCUUUUGUGGAGGACUCACCAACAUACUUGAAUCCUGAAUCUACCCAAAACAUAGAAUUAAUUUCACUUAAGCCAAGUUACAUUAGCAAAGGAAGUAAUGAAAAAAUCCAACAUCCCAUUCAAACACAAAAAACAACCCCUGUGCCUCUCAAACCUACACCAUUUACCCCACUCAAACAGAUUUUUAUACAGGAUUCGCAUGGACAUAUGCAACCAACAGAGCAGGCCACAAAACCUCCAGUAAUGAAUCCAGACACAAACAGCCCUUCGUCAGCAGACUUAUAUUUCCAUAAAAUGUUGAGCUUUUCUCUGAAAAGUGCCCAGUCCUUUAGCGGACAAACUCAGACUACAGGCUUAACUUUAAUGGAUGUAGAGAAUUUCACUGCCUUGGCUCCUGUUGAAAAGCACCAAAAUCAGAGUCAAAUCAUCAAGCAGUCUGGAGGUACCAAGUCAUCAGUGACGAAUGACACAGACCUUGUUGAGUCACUCAAGAAAAACACCUCACAGGCUCCUAUGAGGACCACUGACAAUAAUUACAGAGAAAAGGAGAAAUCCCAAACUUGGUUGCCUGUGAUUGAGAAGCAUGACAUUCCCAUUGUGGUUGGAGUUGGUGUUUCAUUGGCAUUCAUCUUCAUUGCCAUGGCCUUUUACUCUCUGGUUCAGAAAAAUGAUCCUGCAGCUGUACCUACAGGGAGGGCAGGUGAAAUAUAA